CGCAGAGGUGUAAGAAGUGUUGCACUUACCUUGAUCAACUUAUAUCUUAGUUGCAGGUAUCCCAGGAGUCUUUGAAUCUUCGUCUUAGCUGACCCUUGUUCCAGACCCUAAUGUUGGUGUGGCAUAGCAUGCGGGAGACUGCUGAAUACUGAAGAGCUUGAUACAGGAAGGCUCCACAGGUAAGCUUGCAGUAAUUGCCCCAGUCACUUCCUCCUUUGAAAACACAUUCUAC
rnacentral:lncRNA from 1 species